UACGAAGGGGGCUAGCGUUGCUCGGAAUUACUGGGCGUAAAGCGCACGUAGGCGGAUCUUUAAGUCAGGGGUGAAAUCCUGGAGCUCAACUCCAGAACUGCCUUUGAUACUGAGGACCUUGAGUUCGGGAGAGGUGAGUGGAACUGCGAGUGUAGAGGUGAAAUUCGUAGAUAUUCGCAAGAACACCAGUGGCGAAGGCGGCUCACUGGCCCGAUACUGAACGCUGAG
rnacentral:rRNA from 1 species